AACGAACGCUGGCGGCAGGCCUAACACAUGCAAGUCGAACGGAUCCUUCGGGAUUAGUGGCGCACGGGUGAGUAACGCGUGGGAACGUGCCCUUAGGUACGGAACAACAGUUGGAAACGACUGCUAAUACCGUAUAAUAUCGAGAGAUCAAAGAUUUAUCGCCUAAGGAUCGGCCCGCGUUAGAUUAGAUAGUUGGUGGGGUAAAGGCCUACCAAGUCUACGAUCUAUAGCUGGUCUUAGAGGAUGACCAGCCACACUGGAACUGGGACACGGUCCAGACUCCUACGGGAGGCAGCAGUGAGGAAUAUUGGACAAUGGGCGAAAGCCUGAUCCAGCCAUGCCGCGUGAAUGAUGAAGGCCUUAGGGUUGUAAAGUUCUUUUAGCUGUGAAGAUGAUGACUGUAGCAGCAGAAAAAGCCCCGGCUAACUCCGUGCCAGCAGCCGCGGUAA
rnacentral:rRNA from 1 species